UACGGGGGGGCAAGCGUUGUUCGGAAUUACUGGGCGUAAAGGGCUCGUAGGCGGCCAACUAAGUCAGACGUGAAAUCCCCAGGCUCAACCUGGGAACUGCGUCUGAUACUGGAUGGCUUGAAUCCGGGAGAGGGAUGCAGAAUUCCAGGUGUAGCGGUGAAAUGCGUAGAUAUCUGGAGGAAUACCGGUGGCGAAGGCGGCAUCCUGGACCGGCAUUGACGCUGAGGAGCGAAAAGCUAGGGGAGCAAACGGGG
rnacentral:rRNA from 1 species